GAUGAACGCUGGCGGCGUGCCUAAUACAUGCAAGUCGAGCGAACAGAUGAGGAGCUUGCUCCUCUGACGUUAGCGGCGGACGGGUGAGUAACACGUGGAUAACCUACCUAUAAGACUGGGAUAACUUCGGGAAACCGGAGCUAAUACCGGAUAAUAUAUUGAACCGCAUGGUUCAAUAGUGAAAGACGGUUUUGCUGUCACUUAUAGAUGGAUCCGCGCCGCAUUAGCUAGUUGGUAAGGUAACGGCUUACCAAGGCAACGAUGCGUAGCCGACCUGAGAGGGUGAACGGCCACACUGGAACUGAGACACGGUCCAGACUCCUACGGGAGGCAGCAGUAGGGAAUCUUCCGCAAUGGGCGAAAGCUUGACGGAGCAACGCCGCGUGAGUGAUGAAGGUCUUCGGAUCGUAAAACUCUGUUAUUAGGGAAGAACAAAUGUGUAAGUAACUAUGCACGUCUUGACGGUACCUAAUCAGAAAGCCACGGCUAACUACGUG
rnacentral:rRNA from 1 species